AUCCAAAAUCUAUUAAGCUGUGACAAUCGAAUGAAGUGUGUCCGGGGAAGAUCGGUAGCCAUGCUUUCCAUGGGAAUCCGGCGCUGUCCCGCAACUGUAUGUUAGUCGGUUCGUCACUGGGUUAGGAAUCAUCUGGUCGGGCAGUCGUUCUACCUAGAAACCAAAAGGAUGUACUCUCAAGAGUUAUACGACUGAUAAAACGGACGAUCAGACUAACAAGCCAGAUCGCCGGCAUAUUUCAAGAAAGCAUC
rnacentral:ncRNA from 1 species